CACGUAGGGCGCAAGCGUUGUCCGGAAUUAUUGGGCGUAAAGAGCUCGUAGGCGGUCUGUUACGUCUGCUGUGAAAACCCGGGGCUUAACCCUGGGCUUGCAGUGGAUACGGGCAGACUAGAGGCAGGUAGGGGAGAAUGGAAUUCCCGGUGUAGCGGUGAAAUGCGCAGAUAUCGGGAGGAACACCUGUGGCGAAGGCGGCCCCCUGGUUGGAUACUGACGCUGAGACGCGAAAGCGUGGGGAGCAAACAGA
rnacentral:rRNA from 1 species